rnacentral:lncRNA from 1 species
UCCAGCAGAUUCGCUCCUAAUCAUGGAUGAUCAUUCACUUCAUUCCUUACAAGGAUGAGCGCUAAAAAAUAUCAUGGCUUAUAGUACCAAUUCAACAACUCCGAAUGUUUUUUAUCAUUCUUUUCUUAAUUAAGUUUUGGCUUAUUCGUUUCUGCUUUUGAUUUUUAAGAAAUUACUUUUAGUUCAGUCCUCUCAUGUUAUAUUAUGCUUAUCCUGCACCUAUUAUCUUUAUUAUGUACUUACUUGUUAAGCUCAUCGUCAUGCCCACUAAGAAAGCAAAAUUUAUCAGCAUUAACCUAUGUUUAUUUCUCCAUUUUUUAAUUGUAGGAAUAUUGCUAUCAGUGUCAUACAAAGAAAUAAGAUAGACCAAGAUAUCUCUCCAAAUGUACUGACCCAUUUCUAUUUCUCAAUUUUCUAAUUUUUAGAUGUACAACAAGUCAAGUGGUAUUAUAGCAAUGCAGUUUACUGUAUUUGUUGGCUCAUAAUUCGAUUGUUUCCUCUAACCUUUCUCUACCUGACCUAUUUCGUGCAGGUAUGUGAUAUUCGGAGACAAGGGUGUCAAAUUUAGUCUUUUUUUGGCUCAUGAGAUAUAAAUCUCCUUUUCAUGUGCAUUUAUCUCUCGAAGUGGUGUGUUACACAUUCAGAUUCUACUAUUUUACUAUGGCCUUUAUCAUGAGACUUAUAAUUUUUAUAUGCCUUGAUUUUCUAAAAACUGGCGUUUAUUUUGUUUUGCAUGAUUUAGACUACUCUUUUUGUAUGAAUUGAUCGGGGAAAUUACCAGGUAACUUCCUUUCAUUAUCCUCGGUUAAUUAUCGUGUUGUUCUAUUCUAAGUCGCACUGUAGCCUACUUGGAAACAACUGCCCUCCUCAGUGGAAGUCUCAAUGUAAUUCUCAAAUCCCCUAAAUGAGAUAUAAAUGUACGA